AUUUAUUUCCUCACACGCAGGCAUAAAACGUACGUGCUAGUUGGCCGUUGGGUGUAGUCUUUGCGGUGUGUUCAAGAGCAACUUUUCGGACCAGACGCAGGCAACGUGAGGCGACACCACAGUCGGCUUUUGUCGCCGCUAGUUCUUUGAUGUUGGUUUGGUGUGUCUGGGCCUUUAGCUGUUCCCCCAUAUCAUCAUGCACAAAAAAGUUGUGUUUUCCUGGAAAAGUUCAGGUUUUGUUCUGUUUUGUUCUAAUGAGGCCAGGUUGAUAAAAAAGAACCUGUCUCUGCAGGACAAGUCAGCACCAGUGGAGGAGCUUGUGAGACAGAACGCUCUGAGUGUGGUUCAUCAGAGAGGAGGUGAUGCUUCAGACAGGAGAGAGGUUAUGGGGUAAUACAUCCUGCAGUUCGGCAAAUUCAAGGGGAAGUCCUUUCGAUGGCUCCUUGAAAAUGACAGGGUACACCAUCUACCUGAUAAAAAACCUCGAGCAGGAAGAGGCUGCAGGUUUUCUUGUGGCAGAGGGAUCCAGCAAGGACAGCUUGUUGUCCUUUGUAAGUUAUUCCCACAGCUUUGAAGAAAUCCAGUCUCUUCUAGCUGCGUCCAAAACUCCAACUGCACCAGCAGCCUCAUCAGAGGAUGACCAGCUAGUUGGUUUUUGGCUCUCGUGCCAAGAGUACCUGGUGUGAGAUUUGGGACAGCAAGGCUGAUGCUUAUGCUUCCUUCAUAAUGAGGAAAUCAUGUGUCCCAGGUACACAGAUGCACAAACUGCAGCUAUACCUAAUAAAGAAGCAACAUUCCACCUAUUCAACCAUUGUGCCCAUGCGUGCCUCAAGUGCCAAACUGUGCCCAUGGGUCAGAAUUUAUACCAUUUUCUUCUUAACUUGAAUGCUUUAAGUCUUUAAAGUCUCUUGUGUUCACAUUAUAUAGCACAAUCGUACAUUUACAGCAGAAGUACAGUACUGUGAAAGAAUGUGUUUUAGGACACAGUCAUACUUUCUGCAACACUGAGAAGGAUAAAGAUGAGGAGCUGGAGAGUGUGCGAUGCUCAGUAUCACCCCCUCCAAACUACAGGAGCAGUGCUCUGCAACACCAUCAUCAUUCACUGCUGUUCUAGGACAGUCAACAGAAGCAGUAAAAGGUUUUUGCACUGAAAGUUCAGCACUGAGAUUUGAGAUGAAUUGUCCUCCAGAACUGAACAUUGAUUUUCUUCUAUAUUGUGUUCUUCAUGUUGCAUUAACAAUACGUUUGCUGUUGGCAAUAUACUAACAGUCCUAAGGACUAUGAAUUGAUCACCACUAUGAUGAACCGACAACCACAUCCAGGGUGAGUACCCACUUUUGUUGUUAAAUGUUUUGUCGGUUGCGCUUUAUUUUUACAGUUUGUAUAAUUGCACUGUACUUACCCUAGAAAGUACUGAGUGAUAUUAAGUAACUACAUGUACUUUAUAUGGGUUAGGUUCAGGGUUAGUGCUUAAUUUAUACAGUUAUUGUAUUUUCAUAGUACUUGUAGAACAGGACUGUAAAAUAAAGUGCAACUAUUGCAACUAUACCUUCUAACACAAUUGCAUGUUCUUGCAUCACGGCCACCAGCUUCUCUUGUUUUGGUUUGUAAUGAUUGUAACACUCUUUGAGUGAGCAUAAUGAACCAUUUGUAUUUAUAUGUCCAAGACAAGCAGGCAACUUAGAGUGAGGUAUAUUUGUACAUUUACUAACAUCAACAUAUUGCAAAUCCUGAAAUGGCUAAAAAGAGUUUGUGUUGCAGUACCAUCUUCUGCCCUCUCCAAACCUCCUGCCGACACCAAAAGUGAACUGUUGCCAGUUGAGGCCCCAGCCUUGCCAGCUCUGAAGACACAUGUGCCCCUUCCUAAAGAGCUGAUGUUUCUUGUGCAAGAGCAAGCAGUUUCUGAGCAAUCAGAGAGGACCAUCUCAACUCCAGGAGACAGCAGCAUCACAGAGAGUUCUCAUGCAUGCAGGGCACUUACUUUUGAGAUAUGUGGCAUAGAAGUUUUUCAGAGUCUUCAGGGACCACCUCCCAUAUAGCUGAGGCAUCAAACAAGACCACCCACAGUGGCUGGAUAAGCUCCCAAAGGAUUUACAAACGUACUGCCAGCGAAUCUCACGUACAAGAAAUCUAUCUGUAAAUCUUUAUUGGAUGAACUGCACCAUACUGGUAAAUCACCUACGGAAAUGGCCAACCAGGUGAUGGAAAUGAUGCACCUAAAAUAUGAGUGUGCACACCUGUCCUACCUCCUCAGUUGCCAGAAUGUACUGGAUGCUGAGGCUGGAAGAUACGGACAAGGAAGCAUCACAGUAUACCUAAGAAAGGAGACCCAGCCUGCUCCCUUUGGUGAGUACAAUGAUCCCAAUGGUUGGAAUGGAAUGCUGUGUCCGCCCACUACCUCACUGACUGCCUCCUGUAUGAGUACCAGUGCCAGGAGGCAGCCAUUAAAAAGCUCCUACAGGGAACAUUUGGACAGGCUUUCCGUUCAGACCACAUCAGGAAGGUGGCCAGGAAGGUUACAUUCGCGUCUGGCACUAUGUCAUCCCGUGCCAUCAUGAAUGAAAACUGGAUGAUUUUAUCACGGGUGAUGGUGCAGUCUGAGACUGAAGUCAUUGGAACCCAUGUACCAGGGGCUAAUAAACUGGUACAGGAUGGCAGGAGUGGAGAAGGCACAGUACCAGUGGGUAGACAGGGAUUGCUAUGCAGCAUUCAGAGCACCAGAAUCUCAAGCAGGGGAAUACCAGAACUGGGAUGCAUGGCGGACUACGGAUGCCAUUAUUGCUGAGGCCACUGCUGGAGACUUAAUAAACACCUGUGCAUCAAGAUCCCAGUUCAAUCUGAGCAUCACCAUAAAGCUGGACCUUUUCCACUGUAUGAGGCGGUUUGUUAGUGCGUUUCUGAACAUCAUGCCCUUUACAGUUCCUUCUCCCAUUUCUUGUCUGUGGCAUUUUGUGUGGUGGAUCAGGAGGAUCUGUUGAAGCUCAAGAAUGCAUACACAUUUUGCAGGAUUCUGCCUGCUAACCCCACAAAGCACCACAUUCGAGAGCACAGUAGAAUAAAGAUCCCACAGCCUGGAGAACUUCUGAAAAGUGUUGAGGGAGUUAUACAUCACUUUUACUUGGCAGCAGAUCCUAAUGGUGUUCCCCUGUACAAGCACUCCAUGCUGAAGACGUGGCUCAUUCAGCGUGUUCACAUCCUGCGAGGCUGUCUAAGUGAUCCUGAGCUGGCAGGUGAGACCCUGUAUAGACAUGGCGGAACAAUACAGCUUAACCACAUCCAGGGAGAGGGGGCGAAAGUUCUUGUUUGGAUCCCUAUAAGAGGUACAUCACAUCAGGAGGGCUACCACUUCCACAUUUUGUGGUGCCUCUGCUGAAUUUCAAUCAGGGCCAGAAACCACAUUCACACCACCUCUGCCCCUGCUGGCCUCACCAGCGAGUACCCGUACUGGACAUGUGAAGACUGGUGGGAAAGUGUUUGUUCUGGAUUACAAACAUUGGACAUCCCCUAUGAAGCAAGCCAUUGACAGCUUGUUUAAUAAACACCAUGGGCAGAAAGACAUGCUCAAGCUUGUGGAUCAGGAGUACGCAGCUAUGGUUCACAACUCGUGUACUGACUCCAACAGACUGCUCCAUCCAACCACAAGACUCCACAUUUCCCAGUAUGACAAGCACUUGGCCAAACUGCUAAACACCAGAUCUUCAUUAAACACAGGCGCAGAAAAACUUCCGGAAACACAGAAACUCUGGUACUCACUGACAGAGGGGAGUGAUACUACCAGUGUGCCGGUGGUAACAAUGUCCCUGGCGUUUGUAACCCCACUUGCACCUGCUCUGCCCGUACCUAUGACCCAUGAAACUAUUGAGAGAAUCGUCGAGGACAUCAUGGAGAGACAGCAACAGCCACAGCAGCAGAAAAAGCAGACGAAAACUUGCCUUGCCUGUGGGCAGCCAAAGUCUCGGUAUGAGUCUGAUGAUUCUUCAGUCCACUUUUUUUUUUUUUUAUCAGCAAGGUCCUGUCUGGUACUUUUACUGCUCCACAAAGGUUUUUAAAGCCACAAUGCAGAAGGACUAACAAACCCCAGAAUGCAAUUUCAAGAUUUUAUGGAGACCGUGUUCUAUCAGAGGGAGCUUGAUGCCAAAAAAAUAAAAUAAAUAAAAAUAAAAAAAAUGGGUGGAGGAGAAAGGACAGCAAAAGCGGAAAAGGCCUGAAUCUCAGCCAGUUGGUCGUGUGUGUAGAUUCUGCUAAAUGCAAAAUACAGCACUUGUUGACAAUAAAAUAUCAACAUAUGCUGCUAUUUUUUUGUGUUAUUGUGCAUAUGAAUACAUCUUUGAACACUAUAAGAAUGACUAAAGUAAUCCAUUAAUACAAUACAUUGGCCACAAAACACAUAAAACAUUAACAUUUAAAAACAGUAAUGGAAUGUUAUAUUCAUGAAUUUUGUUUUAUAUGCCUGUUUUUGCUUAUAAAAUCUGCCCAAUUCCAGCCUUGAUGAAGCACCCCCAGAUCAUCACCGAUCCUCCAGCAAAUUUCACAGUGGGUGUGAGACACUGGCUAGAAGGCCUCUCCAGGUCUUUGUCUAACCAUUAAGGCCCAAACAUACUUCACGCAAGUACGCGAACGCAGACGCACCUUGCUACGCAAGCUCGAUUCCACGCAUCGUUGAAUAGUGAAAACAUUUUCGUGAUUCGGUUUCAUGGUGCCUAAAAAAAACUCUAUCGCCCCCUUGUGGUGUGAGGUUUAUAACCACCAGAGCAAUGCAAGAGCGCACGUAAUGUAUAUACAGCGGGAUAACAUGAAGGACAUGCGUUGGCCAAGUGCUCGCGUCUGUGUUUGCGUACUUGCGUGAAGUAUGUUUCGGCCUUUAGACGAACAGGUGGAGGAUCGGUGAAGAUCUGGGGUUGCCUUAGCAAGGCUGGAAUCGGGCAGAUUCGUCUUUGUGAAGGAUGCAUCAAUCAAGCCACACACAAGGUUAUCCUGGAAGAAAACUUGUUUCGUUCUGCUCUGACAAUGUUCCCCAACAUUGAAUCGUUUUUUCCAGUAAAUGCUCCACGCCACACAGCCAGGUCAAUCAAGGUGUGGAUAGAGGACCACCAGAUCAAGACCCUGUCAUUGCCAGCCCAAUCUCCAGACCUGAACCCCAUUGAAAACCUCUGGAAGGUGAUCAAGAGAAAGAUGGAUGGCCACAAGCCAUCAAACAAAGCCGAACUGCUUGAAUUUUUGCGCCAGGAGUGGCAAAAAGUCACCCAACAGGAAUGUGAAAGACUGGUAGAUGCAUGAAAUCUGUGAUUGAAAAUCAGGGUUAUUCCACCAAAUAUUGAUUUCUGAACUCUUCCUAAGUUAAAACAUUAGUAUUGUGUUGUUUAAAAAGAAAUAUUAACUUGUUUUCUUUGCAUUAUUUGAGGUCUGACUACACUGCAUUUUUUUUUUUUUUUUUUUUGACCAGUUGUCAUUUUCUGCAAAUAAAUGCUCUAAAUGACAAUAUUUUUUAUUUGGAAUUUGGGAGAAAUGUUGUCAGUAGUUUAUAGAAUAAAACAAAAAUUUUAAUUUUACUCAAACACAUAUUUAUAAAUGGUAAAUCCAGAGAAACUUUUUUUGCAGUGGUCUCUUAUUUUUUUUCCAGAGCUGUAUAUUUUUUCUGUCUUAUUGUGUAUUUCUAUAUAUACUCAUAUUUUCUAUUCGCUUUUUAUUUUUAUUCUAUUUUUUAUUGUCUCUGUCUUGUUGUUUUAUUGUCUGUGCACUGGAAGCUUCUAUCACCAAGACAAAUUACUUGUAUGUGUAAGCAUAUUUGGCAAUAAAGCUCAUUCUGAUUGUUGCCAAAGCUUUGCUGCAGGUUCACCACAACCGGUGAAGAGCUGCAAACUUCUGGCAAACAUUUGUGGUGAAUCGCAUGGUAAUUUGCAUGUGAAAAUAAUGAGUGGAAAAUUUGUGGCAGGUUUACAGCAAGUUUGUCUGAACUUUAAAUUGUUUUUGUAAGGGAGCAGAUGAGCAGAGAAAGUAAGUGACAGGGCUUCAUUCAUGAUAGUCUAUUGUUGAUGUUGUUUCAUAAUGCACAGCCGCUGGCAGUGACAAAAUAUUACCAAUUUUUCAUAUUAGACACAUAUCCCAAGUCCUGAUCAUUACCAUGUUUUUGUACAUGUAACAAAAACUUUGUUAGUGACACAGUAAUUACAGUGUUACUAAAUAUUUUCCAGGACAUUAAGGUAUUUUGAUCAUUUUCCAUGACUGGAAAACUGCACUGCAAAAUUCCAGGUUUUCCACGAUGCGUGGGCAUCGAAAAUGUAUUUUGUGAAAAGCGCUUUAAAAAAAUGACUUGAAUUGAUAAACUGCCCUGAAAAUUGUCCUAUUUUGUAAAUUAAAUGUAACCAUUUAAAAUCAUUUUGUUAUUACACACUGCUGUGGACCCUGUUGCUAAAUAAUAAUAAUAAUAAUAAAUAUAGCCGCAAGCAGCAAUCAUCGGGGUCCAAGCACUUGUGAAGAAAUAAACAAUAUAAUCAGAAUUAACAAAAAUGAUCCAGUGGAUGCCAAAUAAUACAAAUUGACAGAACAGAUUCUCUCUAACAUAAAUUUGCUGAAAAUUGUGUAUAAAAAUUUUGAAGCUGUAAAACGCACAUAAAGGAAUCAUAAAAUUAAUCCAUAUGACUCCACUGGUUGAAUCCAUAUCUUUUGUAGCAAAAUAAUUAAAGAGUUAUGGCCCAAAAUUUGAUUUCUGUUUGUUUUAUUUGUUUUGUCUGAGUCAAAU